GGAGGUGUAGCCUAGAAGAUGACACUGUUGGGUCUUCUGUGUCUGGUGACUGCCCUUCCUGGUAUCCUGUCCCAGAUACAGCUUCAGGAGUCAGGACCUGGCCUGGUGAAGCCCUCUCAAUCGCUGUCCCUCACCUGCUCUGUCACUGGUUACUCCAUCACCACCAGUGGUUACUACUGGAACUGGAUCAGGCAGUCCCCAGGGAAGAAGCUGGAGUGGAUGGGGUACAUAAAUUAUGUUGGUGGCACCUACUACAACCCAUCCCUGCAGAGCCGCAUCUCCAUCACCAGAGAAACAUCCAAGAACCAGUUCUUCCUGCAGCUGAACUCUGUGACCACUGAGGACACAGCCACAUAUUACUGUGCAAGACACACAGAAGUCAGGUACAGUGGUGGACACAGUGUAACAGACAAAUGGAGUGAUAUCUGCCCUCCCCAUUUCUAA